rnacentral:rRNA from 1 species
GGGGGCUAGCGUUGCUCGGAAUUACUGGGCGUAAAGGGUGCGUAGGCGGCACUGUUAGUCAGGCGUGAAAGUCCUGGGCUCAACCUGGGAACUGCGCUUGAUACGGCAGAGCUAGAGGAUGGAAGAGGCUCGCGGAAUUCCCAGUGUAGAGGUGAAAUUCGUAGAUAUUGGGAAGAACACCGGUGGCGAAGGCGGCGAGCUGGUCCAUUACUGACGCUGAGGCGCGACAGCGUGGGGAGCAAACAGG